GUUUGCUGAUCCAGCCUUUGUCUUCAUUGCUUCGUCCAGUAAAUCUGGUGGCAUAUUAUAAUAAUAAUCUUGUGCAUAUUUUUUCAGGUAGUCAGUUAUUUGAAGAUAUUUAGAAUACUGAUUGUUUUUU